AUUAAGAUGCUAUAGUAGGUACCAGAUAAAUAUUUUAUAAAAUAUUAUUUUCUUUGUUAAAGUUUAAAUGUGCAACACGACGAAAUAAAGCAGUGGUUUUGACACCUAAAAGAUAUCAUUAUAUUUAGAUAUACGAUCAAGACCUGCGUAAGAGUGCCCGCAGUUGAAGAAUUACCCUGAUGAUUUUAUAUACAGAGUAAUCCCUACAUAUAUGAGUAAAUUAAGCAAUAACGCGUGUCUUCCUUUAUUUUUCAGCCGUUCUCUACUGUGUUGCGAACGGAAUCAAAAGUUAAAAUACGCGGAACCCUGUUAUCCAAAAUAACAGUUGUUUGUUUUGGCGUUUUGCACAUGCUAGAAUUCCUCCAGUCUCUACGCUUUUUAUGUGAGUCGUUAUGGCAACGACAUGAUUGAUGUAAUCUUUAGCCAAUGAGAGCACGAUUCUGAUGGUGGGAAGUUUAAAUUCCUGAGCCGAACACGCUCUCUCAGUGGUCAGUGUUGUGAGUCAUUCGUGACGUGUCCACUGACGGAACUCCCAUCUACAGUACAAAUCUCUCAGUACUUACACUAACCAUAACUUUUUCAAGCUAAAAACUCAACUGCUGAAAGACAAAGGGGAGAAAACAACGAGGAUGAAUCGUAAAAGAAAGUUCUUCACCGAAGAGGUUGUGCUGUUGAACAAUCAAAGCAGCGACGAGGAGACUGAGUUUGAGGACAGUGAUGAAAGCGACGACGAAAUGCAUGUGCAUGAAACACACGAACCUAUUUUAUACCUGCAUUUAGCUGAAUCCUCUGAGGAGGAGUGGGAUUUUAACACCAACCAACAAUCAGAAAAGAAGUUGAUGCCUUCAGAUUUACCAGACUCGGUAUCCGUUUCAUCAAGAAAAGGUCUCAGGCAAUCAGCAAGAUUGAGAGCCAGCAAAACCUGUUCUCCACCUGUUCCUCGUACACCCGAGGAGGGGUGAAAUAAUUCAACUGAUGAGGAUAUAACACCUCGGCCUGCAGUCUUCAAAGCAUCUCGAAGACCAGGCCCACAGUUAAACCCCUCUGCAUCGUACAGUGUAUUGAAAUUGUUUCAGCUCUUCAUCUCUCCAUCAGUAGUGCAGACAAUUGUGCAAAACACCAACGCCUAUGGAGCCAAGCAACAAAAAGCCAAGUCCCAGUGGAAAGAUAUCUCCUGGAUCGACCUAUACUCUUAUCUGCUGCUUGUGAAAUACAUGGGCAUGUUGAAAAUGCAUUCGCUGACAGAUUACUGGAGGAAAUCUGACACCUUCAAAAUCCCAUUUCCAGCAGAAGUCAUGUCUGCAAGGAGGUUCUUCUCCAUCUCCUCCACUCUGCAUCUCAGUGAUCCUGAAGCGGAUGCUGAAAACAAGAAGAAAAUGGGAACACCUGCCUACGACAGCCUCUGCAAGAUCAAGCCCAUGAAUCAACAGCUAAGAGAAGCAUGUAAAAAAAAACUUUCACCCCUUUCAGAACAUCACCAUCGAUGAGAGGAAGGUGAAAACUAAGCCUAGAAAUCUUUCUGUGUUGUCCGACUCGCUCAGUGCGUACACAUGGGACUUCUUCAUCCAAGAAAGUAAAUCGACAGGACAGUUUCCACAGAGCAAUAAACUGGGUUGUGAGUCUGUCAUGGAGCUUGUUGAUGAGAAGAUGUUGGGAACGGGCUACAAACUGUUACUCGGCAAAGUCAACACAAAUCCAGCACUUUUUAGAGAUCUUCUGAGGAAAAAUAUCUGAGCUUGUGGGACUGUUUGGUCUAAUAGGCCGGGAUACCCUAAAACCACGGUCAACAAGCUUCCGAAAAAAGCCCCUAGAGGGGCUAUCUCUAUUUGCAGAGUUCUAAUUGGGGAAGAUGGCUUUAUUCUUAAAGGUGCAUGGGUGGAGCAGUUGCAACGGAAACACUCUUCCGCUAUUACUCAGUGUCACACAAGACAAGAAAGUGGUAUCGUAGGUUUUUCUACGACUGUGUGGACAUAGCCAUCGCAAACGCCUUCGUCUUACAUCGUGAAAUGGCAGCUACGAACAAGCAAAAGCCAAUGACACACAAGCAGUGCAGAGAAAAACUCUUUGAGGAACUUGCCAUAUUGGUGCUUCCAGAUUUUCCAUCAUCUCCUCCGUCUCCUCCCGAGGACACUCGGCACUUACCAGGAUACUUUGCUUCAGACAGCACCAAAGGAAGGCGCAAUUGCAAAGUUUGUGGACAAAAAACACCAAUUUAUUGCAAGACUUGUUUAGUGGCGAUGUGCUUUCAGCCGAAACGUGACUGCUUCUUUGCUUGGCAUAACCAGCACUGACCUCUUCAUUUCACACCUUGAACAUCUGAUGAUGGACAGGAAAAUAGUUUCUGAAAAACUGUGUGCUUCUAGCAGGUGAGUGGGCUUUACAAACCACCUGUAGGACACACUCUUUUCUCUUCGUAUUGUUUCUAGAUUGCUCCAGGACUGUUUUUAUAUUAAAUAAAGUGUGUUUAAUGCUGCACUGUUUUUGACCCUUCUGUCUUCUUGAACAUUAUAGUCUAGAUCAGGGGUUCCCAA